UACGAAGGGGGCUAGCGUUGCUCGGAAUCACUGGGCGUAAAGCGCACGUAGGCGGCUUCUUAAGUCAGGGGUGAAAUCCUGGAGCUCAACUCCAGAACUGCCUUUGAUACUGGGAGGCUCGAGUCCGGAAGAGGUGAGUGGAACUGCGAGUGUAGAGGUGAAAUUCGUAGAUAUUCGCAAGAACACCAGUGGCGAAGGCGGCUCACUGGUCCGGUACUGACGCUGAGGU
rnacentral:rRNA from 1 species